rnacentral:tRNA from 1 species
GCGCCCAUAGCUCAGUUGGAUAGAGCAUCGGCCUUCUAAGCCGAGGGGCAGAGGUUCGAAUCCUCUUGGGCGCGCCA